ACACAUGCAAGUCGAGCGGAUGAGAAGAGCUUGCUCUUCGAUUCAGCGGCGGACGGGUGAGUAAUACCUAGGAAUCUGCCUGAUAGUGGGGGACAACGUUUCGAAAGGAACGCUAAUACCGCAUACGUCCUACGGGAGAAAGCAGGGGACCUUCGGGCCUUGCGCUAUCAGAUGAGCCUAGGUCGGAUUAGCUAGUUGGUGAGGUAAUGGCUCACCAAGGCUACGAUCCGUAACUGGUCUGAGAGGAUGAUCAGUCACACUGGAACUGAGACACGGUCCAGACUCCUACGGGAGGCAGCAGUGGGGAAUAUUGGACAAUGGGCGAAAGCCUGAUCCAGCCAUGCCGCGUGUGUGAAGAAGGUCUUCGGAUUGUAAAGCACUUUAAGUUGGGAGGAAGGGCAGUAAGCGAAUACCUUGCUGUUUUGACGUUACCGACAGAAUAAGCACCGGCUAACUCUGUGCCAGCAGCCGCGGUAAUACAGAGGGUGCAAGCGUUAAUCGGAAUUACUGGGCGUAAAGCGCGCGUAGGUGGUUCGUUAAGUUGGAUGUGAAAUCCCCGGGCUCAACCUGGGAACUGCAUCCAAAACUGGCGAGCUAGAGUAGGGCAGAGGGUGGUGGAAUUUCCUGUGUAGCGGUGAAAUGCGUAGAUAUAGGAAGGAACACCAGUGGCGAAGGCGACCACCUGGGCUCAUACUGACACUGAGG
rnacentral:rRNA from 1 species